rnacentral:lncRNA from 1 species
ACUAGCUGUGUGAAUUUGCACAGGCUGUUUGCGGCUCUCAAUCUUUUUUUUUUUUUCCUCCCUCAGGAAAACAGUCUGUGGGAUUUCUUCUGUUUCCCGGUUCCAGAUCCAAUGAACUCCUUUCUCCAAUCUUGUACCAACACUGGGAGCCUUGACAAGCACAGUGUGUGGCUGCCAUUAAGAGAAAAUGUGUCAUGCAACCAGCUAUUCUAAGCACCAGUGACUGGCAAAAGGAGGAUGGAGUGGUGGUGUCCUCACGGUAGGCUUACCGGCGCUUGGGGGCAAAUGGGGAAGUCCAGGGCAUAAACUGUGGUCCUGGAAAAACUUGUGUGAAUAUGAAGAAGUCCUGGAGGGACGAUAGGCAUAACGUAAGAGGCAGCAGUGGUAAGUAUACAGCUGUUAUCUGCAGAAGCUUAUGAUUUUCUCUUUGUUGAAAGUAAAUCCAUGUCAAACAUUGUUCUAGGCAAUUCAUAUAGAUUACUUCACUUAAUCCUCAUGACAAUGCAAUAAGGUCAGUAUUAUUAUGCUCUUUAUAUUACAAAUGAGGACUCCAAAAAAAAAAAAAAACAUGAAUAAGCAAGUAAUUUGCCCAAGUUAUACAAAUAACAUAUUGCUGAGGUAGGAUUUGAUUUGAACCCAACAAAUCAAACUCUGGAACCCAAUAUCAUAUUUUAGGUAUAAUUUAUAUACAGUAAGAGGGCCUUGUUUGGUUUAUAAUUCUAUGAGUUUUGGUACAUGUACCCAACCUUGUAACUGCUACCUACUCAAGAUGUAGAACAGUUUUAUCAUUUUCCCUAAUCUCCUUAUGAAUGCCCUUUUCUAAUCAGUCCCCUCCCCUUUUCCCAGUCCCUGGAAAUCACUGAUCUGUCUGUUUUCUUUAUAGUUUUCACUUUUCCAGAAUGUCCUAUCAAUGGAAUAAUAAAGCAUGAAGGCUCUUGAGU